rnacentral:rRNA from 1 species
AGAGUUUGAUCCUGGCUCAGGACGAACGCUGACGGUGUGCUUUAGGCAUGCAAGUCGAACGAGAAAGCCCUUCGGGGUGAGUAAAGUGGCGAACGGGUGAGUAACACGUGGGCAACCUGCCCCUCGCAGGGGGACAACCGGAGGAAACUCCGGCUAAUACCCCGUACGCUUGUUGGAUCGCAUGGUCCGGCAAGGAAAGGUAGCUUCGGCCAUCCGGCGAGGGAUGGGCCCGCGUUGCAUUAGCUAGUUGGUGGGGUAACGGCCUACCAAGGCGACGAUGCGUAGCUGGUCUGAGAGGAUGAUCAGCCACACUGGGACUGAGACACGGCCCAGACUCCUACGGGAGGCAGCAGCCAGGAAUCUUGGGCAAUGGGCGAAAGCCUGACCCAGCAACACCGUGUGGGCGAUGAAGGCCUUAGGGUCGUAAAGCCCUGUUGAUAGGGACGAAGGGCGAAGGGUUAAUAGCCCCUAGCUUGACGGUACCUUUCGAGGAAGCCCCGGCUAACUACGUGCCAGCAGCCGCGGUAAUACGUAGGGGGGCGAGCGUUGUCCGGAAUUAUUGGGCGUAAAGAGCGUGUAGGCGGUUCGGUAAGUCUGCUGUGAAAUCCUGGGGCUCAACCCUGGGCGUGCAGCGGAUACUGCCGGGCUAGAGGGUGGUAGAGGCGAGUGGAAUUCCGAGUGUAGCGGUGAAAUGCGCAGAUAUUCGGAGGAACACCAGUAGCGAAGGCGGCUCGCUGGGCCACACCUGACGCUGAGACGCGAAAGCGUGGGGAGCGAACAGGAUUAGAUACCCUAGUAGUCC